rnacentral:rRNA from 1 species
GCGCUCUGCGUCCGGCUUCCAACCCUUUGUUCGUCUCAACCAUGUUGCCUCGGGGGGCGACCCGGCCCUCGUGCCGGGCGACCCCGGAGGUCCAUCAAACUCUGCAUCCUUGCGUCGGAGUAUUGAAAGCAAAUCAAUCAAAACUUUUAACAACGGAUCUCUUGGUUCUGGCAUCGAUGAAGAACGCAGCGAAAUGCGAUAAGUAAUGUGAAUCGCAGAAUUCAGUGAAUCAUCGAAUCUUUGAACGCACAUUGCGCCCUUUGGCAUUCCGAAGGGCAUGCCCGUUCGAGCGUCAUUACACCAAUCAAGCCUGGCUUGGUAUUGGGCGUCGGCCGUCGGCCGCGCCUCUAUUUCCCCGGCUGGACGGUUCAAAUCUCAGCGUUGUGAUAAUCAAUUCGCGGAGCAGGAGGAACGGACGCGCCGUUAAACCUCAUUACAGGUUGAC